AACCCCACCCCCUCCCCUCCGGAUCGAAUCCUCCACGACUCCAUGACGCGGGGAGAGCUAGCGGCGCGGGGGAGAGCUGGCGGCGCGCGAGGUGACGAGGCGGCGGCGCGAGGUGACGGCGUGGCGGCGCGGCGGACCCCGACGGCGACCCUCUCCGCCGUCUUCUCACCGGUGAUGUUGAGGCCAAGCCUCGUGCAUGUGGUGUCCUUAUCAUGCCUGGUGUGAUCUGCAGUCAUUUGAGAUGUAAUUUCUUCUACUUUCUGGUUUGAGUCCUUGCAGCUACCAUUCAGAGAGAGGUGUUGUGUUUCAAAACCGCACUCCAGUGGUCCUAGCUCGCUGUGGCAGCCGUAUGACAGUGCCUGGGUACUCCAGUACUCCUAGCUCACUUUGUUUGCUACUGUUCUAUUUCUGGUAUUCCGUAUGUUUGCCUGACGCUCUGUAUGUUCUGCUUUGGUACUC